GCCUCUGUAGCUCAGUUGGUUAGAGCGCUGCACCGGAAUCGCAGGGCCGCAGGUUCGAUUCCUACCAGAGGAC
rnacentral:tRNA from 1 species